rnacentral:rRNA from 1 species
ACGAACGCUGGCGGCGUGCUUAACACAUGCCAGUCGAACGAUGAACCGGUUUCGGCCGGGGAUUAGUGGCGAACGGGUGAGUAACACGUGGGCAAUCUGCCCUGCACUCUGGGAUAAGCCCGGGAAACUGGGUCUAAUACCGGAUACGACACUCCGAGGCAUCUUGGGGUGUGGAAAGUUCCGGCGGUGCAGGAUGAGCCCGCGGCCUAUCAGCUUGUUGGUGGGGUAAUGGCCUACCAAGGCGACGACGGGUAGCCGGCCUGAGAGGGUGACCGGCCACACUGGGACUGAGACACGGCCCAGACUCCUACGGGAGGCAGCAGUGGGGAAUAUUGCACAAUGGGCGAAAGCCUGAUGCAGCGACGCCGCGUGAGGGAUGACGGCCUUCGGGUUGUAAACCUCUUUCAGCAGGGAAGAAGCGAAAGUGACGGUACCUGCAGAAGAAGCACCGGCUAACUACGU